GUUUUUGUAGUUGAGUACAACGUUGAUUUUUCAGGUCAGAGCCCCUGGUUAGAGCCCAGGUGAAAAUA
rnacentral:tRNA from 1 species